CCCUUAGAUGUUCUGGGCUGCACGCGCGCGACAAUGACGUUUGCAACGAGAUUGCGAGGCCGUCAGGUCGAGCUGAUCUUGCAAGCUGCGUCGUGAUAGGGACAGUCGAUUGCAAUUAUUCGACUCGAACGAGGAAUUCCUUGUAAUCGCGCAUCAUCAGUGCGCGCUGAAUACGUCCCUGCCCUUUGUACACACCGCCCGUUGCUCCUACCGAUUGAGUGAUCCGGUGAAUGUUUUGGAUCGGCUUCAAGUUGGUUCGCGCCUCUUGCUUGCUGUGAAAUCAUGUAAACCUUAUUGCUUAGAGGAAGGAGAAGUCGUAACA
rnacentral:rRNA from 1 species